CGCCCGGGCGGGGCGGGCGCCAUUGGCCCGGAUCGUCUCGCGGGCGGUCACCGGCGUGGAGCCGCACCUGUUCGGGAUCGGCCCGGUCGA
rnacentral:tRNA from 1 species